UACGGAGGGUGCAAGCGUUAAUCGGAAUUACUGGGCGUAAAGCGCGCGUAGGCGGUUUUUUAAGUCGGAUGUGAAAGCCCCGGGCUCAACCUGGGAACUGCAUCCGAUACUGGAAGACUAGAAUGCGGGAGAGGGAGGUAGAAUUCCAUGUGUAGCAGUGAAAUGCGUAGAUAUAUGGAGGAAUACCAGUGGCGAAGGCGGCCUCCUGGCUCGACAUUGACGCUGAGGUGCGAAAGCGUGGGGAGCAAACUUU
rnacentral:rRNA from 1 species